GUAGAAGCACCUCUCCCUUGAACUCUGGUUCUAUAGGAUCGACAAGAAGUACGGCCUCCGGAUAAGCUAGGGCUUCCCCUUGCGGUGGCUUCCGAUCGUCGGGCAAAGGCAUGAAUCUCUGUCUCUUAUCUGCUACAGCCAUUGUUGUCGAUGAUAAACGCAGGCCAUUCUUUCAAGUGUUCGUAAAUGGCGUACGAAUAGAAUCCUGAUGAAUUACGAAGCAUCACGAACCUGUAAAAGAAGAGCAAGAAGAUUUCGAUUUUUCGCCCUUAAUUAUUCGUUCGUUGCCCUGAUGAUUAAUUUCAAAUUCUGAGAAAUUUUGAGAAUCGUUUAUGUUUGAUUUACCUUUUGUCGAUGUUUAAGGGAAUGAGAUCGCCUCCGGUGGAUGAAUUGAGACUUACCGAUCGAAAAUGCCCUUUGUUCCUGAACUUCCUGCCAGAUUCCAAACGAUGUCCCAAUAUCUGAAUAUUCAAUUCAGCGCAUAAAAUCACAAGGCAUUAGCUCUCUAUUGAUAUUUAAGUAAAUAUUGUGUUUGGAUUAUUAUUUUGUUUUUGAGAUCAGCAUAACUCAAGUAGUUAAUUCAAUACCAUAGUUCAAUUAGAGGUUGAUUUUCUCAUUCUUCUACCAGAAAAAAAAUCACUUUUAAAAACAAAUAAAUAUUUUUUACUUUUUAGGUGUUAACUACUUUAUAUAUGUAAGGGAAAUAAAAGGUUAGUAAAGAAUCCGGAUGAUUUAGACCUUUUUAGUAA